AGAAUUUGAUCCUGGUUCAGAGCGAACGUUGGCGGCGUGCCUAAUACAUGCAAGUCGAACGAGAAGCAGGGGGCAACUCCUGCAGUAAAGUGGCGAAAGGGUGCGUAACACAUAGACAACCUGCCCUCGAGACUGGGACAACCCACCGAAAGGUGGACUAAUACCAGGAGCGGUCAGUGGGUGGCAUCAUCCGCUGAUCAAAGGAUGGCCUCUAUUCAUAAGCUAUCGCUCGAGGAGGGGUCUAUGCCCUAUCAGCUAGUUGGCGGGGUAAUGGCCCACCAAGGCGAUGACGGGUACCCGGCCUGAGAGGGUGUCCGGCCACACUGGGACUGAGACACUGCCCAGACUCCUACGGGAGGCAGCAGUAGGGAAUAUUGCGCAAUGCCCGAAAGGGUGACGCAGCGACGCCGCGUGAGGGAUGAAGGCCUUCGGGUUGUAAACCUCUGUCACCCGGGAAGAACAUGCUGGGGGUGAAUAAUCCCUGGCGUUGACGUUACCGGGAAAGGAGGCACCGGCUAACUCUGUGCCAGCAGCUGCGGUAAUACAGAGGGUGCUAACGUUGCUCGGAUUCACUGGGCGUAAAGGGCACGUAGGUGGUCCGGUAACUCAGUCGUGGAAUCCCGCCGCUCACCGGUGGAAUUGCGACUGAAAAUGCCAGACUUGAGCGCAGGAGGGGUGAGGGGAACUCUAGGUGGAGCGGUGGAAUGCGUAGAUAUCUAGAGGAACGCCGGAGGCGAAAGCGCCUCACUGGCCUGCUGCUGACACUGAGGUGCGAAAGCCAGGGGAGCAAACGGGAUUAGAUACCCCGGUAGUCCUGGCUGUAAACGAUGCUCACUAAGUAGGGGGAAACCUGAUUUUCUCCCUGCCGAACCUAACGGAUUAAGUGAGCCGCCUGGGGAGUACGGUCGCAAGGCUAAAACUCAAAGGAACUGACGGGGGCUCGCACAAGCGGUGGAGCAUGUGGUUCAAUUCGAAACUACGCGAAGAACCUUACCCGGGCUUGACAUGUAUGUAGUAGGAACCUGAAAGGGGGACGACCCGUAGAGUCGGGAGCAUACACAGGUGUUGCAUGGCUGUCGUCAGCUCGUGUCGUGAGAUGUCGGGUUAAGUCCCAUAACGAGCGAAACCCUUGUCCUUAGUUGCCAACGGGUCAUGCCGGGGACUCUAAGGAGACUGCCCACGUUAAGUGGGAGGAAGGCGGGGAUGACGUCAAGUCAUCAUGGCCCUUAUGUCCGGGGCAACACACAUGCCACAAUGGAGGGUACAAAGGGUUGCCAACCCGUAAGGGGGAGCCAAUCCCAAAAAGCCCUUCUCAGUUCGGAUUGCAGGCUGCAAUUCGCCUGCAUGAAGCUGGAAUCGCUAGUAAUCGCGGAUCAGCUACGCCGCGGUGAAUAUGUUCCCGAGCCUUGUACACACCGCCCGUCAAGCCACCCAAGCACGGGGUACCUAAAGUCGGUCCUUAACCAACCGCCCAGGGUAAAACGUGUGAGGAGGGCUAAGUCGUAACAAGGUA
rnacentral:rRNA from 1 species